GAUGAACGCUGGCGGCGUGCCUAAUACAUGCAAGUCGAGCGAACGGACGAGAAGCUUGCUUCUCUGAUGUUAGCGGCGGACGGGUGAGUAACACGUGGAUAACCUACCUAUAAGACUGGGAUAACUUCGGGAAACCGUAGCUAAUACCGGAUAAUAUUUUGAACCGCAUGGUUCAAAAGUGAAAGACGGUCUUGCUGUCACUUAUAGAUGGAUCCGCGCUGCAUUAGCUAGUUGGUAAGGUAACGGCUUACCAAGGAAACGAUGCAUAGCCGACCUGAGAGGGUGAUCGGCCACACUGGAACUGAGACACGGUCCAGACUCCUACGGGAGGCAGCAGUAGGGAAUCUUCCGCAAUGGGCGAAAGCCUGACGGAGCAACGCCGCGUGAGUGAUGAAGGUCUUCGGAUCGUAAAACUCUGUUAUUAGGGAAGAACAUAUGUGUAAGUAACUGUGCACAUCUUGACGGUACCUAAUCAGAAAGCCACGGCUAACUACGUG
rnacentral:rRNA from 1 species